AAAACCCUCAAGAAACCCUAGAAUUACAAAAGGAAUAUCUUCCAAAAAUAAUCCCCAAAUUACAAACAAAAUGUGAGUUCAAAAUUUCUGAACCCACUGAUAAUGGUGAACUAUUACAAAAAGAAGAACUAUUCAUUCAAAAUUUGAAUACUAAUUCUUCUAAUUCAUCCAGCUUAAACUCUGAAAUCAAAUCUGAAGAAAAUACAAAAAAUGUCAACAUGCUUUUAAAAAAUCAAGAAUUGAUCUUGAUGUUUUA
rnacentral:misc_RNA from 1 species